rnacentral:misc_RNA from 1 species
GCACCUACCGAUUGAAUGGUUCGGUGAAAAUCUCGGACUGCGGCGUGGAUGCCUUCGGGCAACCAAGCUGUGGAAAGUUGUUUAAACCUCAUCAUUUAGAGGAAGGUGAAGUCGUAACAAGGUUUCCGUAGGUGAACCUGCAGAAGGAUCAAUAUCGGACGGAAGUCCGUUAGGGAGAGAGUGUGGGUCUCGGUGGUCGCCGUAUGAUUCAAAAAAAAAAAAAACAAAUCUGUUAAGAACACCAUAUAACUGUAAGUCUAUCGACUCAAACACACA